GACAGAGGGGGCAAGCGUUGCUCGGAAUCACUGGGCGUAAAGGGCGCGUAGGCGGGAUGGCAAGUCAGUCGUGAAAUCUCUCGGCUCAACCGAGAAACGUCGGCUGAUACUGCCGUUCUUGAGGGAUGCAGAGGAGACUGGAAUUCCCGGUGUAGCGGUGAAAUGUGUAGAGAUCGGGAGGAACACCGGUGGCGAAGGCGGUCUGCUGGGCAGUUGCUGACACUGAGGCGCGACAGCGUGGGGAGCAAACAGGG
rnacentral:rRNA from 1 species